rnacentral:rRNA from 1 species
AGAGUUUGAUCAUGGCUCAGGAUGAACGCUAGCGGCAGGCUUAAUACAUGCAAGUCGAGGGGCAGCACAGGUAGCAAUACUGGGUGGCGACCGGCAAACGGGUGCGGAACACGUACGCAACCUUCCUUUAAGCGGAGAAUAGCCCAGGGAAACUUGGAUUAAUACUCCAUAAGAUUAUGGUGUGGCAUCACACAGUAAUUAAAGCUCCGGCACUUAAAGAUGGGCGUGCGGCUGAUUAGGUAGUUGGCGGGGUAACGGCCCGCCAAGCCAACGAUCAGUAACUGGUGUGAGAGCACGACCAGUCACACGGGCACUGAGACACGGGCCCGACUCCUACGGGAGGCAGCAGUAAGGAAUAUUGGUCAAUGGACGCAAGUCUGAACCAGCCAUGCCGCGUGGAGGAUGAAGGCCCUCUGGGUUGUAAACUUCUUUUAUUUGGGAAGAAACCCAUCUUUUCUAAGGUGGUUGACGGUACCAGAUGAAUAAGCACCGGCUAACUCCGUGCCAGCAGCCGCGGUAAUACGGAGGGUGCAAGCGUUAUCCGGAUUCACUGGGUUUAAAGGGUGCGUAGGUGGGCAGGUAAGUCAGUGGUGAAAUCUCCGGGCUUAACCCGGAAACUGCCGUUGAUACUAUCUGUCUUGAAUAUAGUGGAGGUGAGCGGAAUAUGUCAUGUAGCGGUGAAAUGCUUAGAUAUGACAUAGAACACCCAUUGCGAAGGCAGCUCGCUACACUAUCAUUGACACUGAGGCACGAAAGCGUGGGGAUCAAACAGGAUUAGAUACCCUAGUAGUCC